rnacentral:rRNA from 1 species
CGCGGCGACGCCGGCGGUUCGCCGCCGUUGUCGCUGUGAGAAGUUCAUUAAACCUUAUCAUUUAGAGGAAGGAGAAGUCGUAACAAGGUUUCCGUAGGUGAACCUGCGGAAGGAUCAUUG